UCGAAGGGUUGGGUAUUUUCAAACCAAAAUAAAAUAUUUUCUUAUAUUUUGAAUACCAAAAACCAGAGGGAAUUUACAGGAUACAAAAAAGGAAAAUUUCCUGGAGGGGAGAGAGAGAGAGAGAGAGAGAGCAAAACCCAAUAAUUUUAAAGAGUUGCCCUCAAAAGCUCCAUGAUAUUGAUUUGGAUUUUCUCUACAAACAAGUUUUGAUAUUGGUGAAUCUGUUAGGUCAAAAGGAGUUUCGACAAUUGUGUUCGACCAAGGGAUGGACACCAAUGGUCUUAGAUGGGUUGGAGAGAAACAUAAAGUACAAUCUGCUGUCAACAACUUGAGGAAUGGAGGAGGAAUGAAGAGCGGCGAUUCAGACAUGGACACAGACUCUGACUGUGAGAAUGUGGCCACUGAUAGGAAGUACUCAGUUGCAUGGUCUCCCUUGGAUGACAGAGCUUCCAACACUUUGGGUUCUAAAGGCGUGGCAUCGAAGUAAAGGCAGUGAAUUCAGGGUUGUGAUCAAAUUCAGACUGAAUCUAGUUUGUCGAGGGAGAAAAUCCAAUUGAGAAUGGCUCGGGAGUUUGGAAGGAACCAAGCAAUAUACCCUGUUUUUACCGAAUUUGAAUUGUCUGAUUCGAUCACUAGUACUGAACUUCCGUUUAGGCAAACGAAAAGCAACAAUGGUGGUGCCCGGAAGGGAUCAUACAAUUCAAGUGGUAAUAUAGAAACAACAUCCAAAAAUAAGCUUUCGAAUAGUAAUCCCAUCACUCCUCCACUUUAUGGUUCUGUUUCGGAGAUUGAACGUGUUGUUGAGCCAAGUUCACUUAUUAGAGCAUACAACACAGCUCACACUUCGAAUUGGAGUGUUCCUGCAAACACUAAUGGUUUAAGAAAAACAAAAAGUGUCUACUCAAGCAGCCCUAUGCAUUAUUCUUUCGGCAAUGGAACUUCUAACUCGCCAGUUUGUUCACCUGCUCGCCUCCCAGUAUUUAGUGAAUGUGUGCAGGGUACAUGGUGUGCUGUAAUCGCUUAUGAUGCAUGUGUUAGGCUCUGUCUUCAUGCUUGGGCUCAGAGCUAUUGCGCUGAAGUUCAAGGAUUCUUGGAGAAUGAGAGCGCACUGUUGCGAGAUGCAUUCGGUUUAUAGCAUGUAUUAUUGCAAUCAGAAGCUGAACUUUUGGCAGAACAGCGUCCUUCACAGCCAAUCAAUACAUUAGCUGCUCCUGCUCCAAAACAUGUGAAAGCUUCUGGAAAAAUAAAAUUGCAACUUCGUAAAGUGAAAAUGGAUUCGGAUGAACAACCUUCUAGCUGCAGUUUCCCAUCUCCAAAACUACCAAGGAUUCGUUAUGACUCAUGUUGUAGGCGCUUCUCUAAUUUGAGAUCAAAUUUAUCUUCUGCAUUGAAUUCUACACAGAACAUAAAGUUGAUCUCAAACGGUUCCUUUUCUCAUUGGAGCUUGGCUUGCCUAGGAGCUGGAAGGAAAUGUAUAAAACAAGGAUCAAGCUUCCUAAAAAUGAGGGCAAAUACUUUGUGCAAUCGCUCUUCAUUGUAUGAAGGAGUGCAAGAAACUUAUUCCUGCUUCGUGAGAUUGACAAGUUCACCUGAAGAGGAUGCAGUACAAAUGCAACCAGGAUCCGGUGAAACCCGUGUGUUGUUUCCAAAUAGCGUUGGUGAUGACGUGAUCAUACAAGUACAAAAUUCCAAGGGACAACAUUGUGGUUGUGGUCAUGCCCUAGUCAAAGUGGCUGCUAUUGCUGAUGAACUGAUACAAUUUUCAGAAUUCAGUAAUUCACUAUCUGUAAGAAGGUUGAUAUUUAUGCUUUGGAAUUAAAUAUCUAUUUUGAAUGCAGGGCGACAAGAUACGAUGGUGGCCUAUAUAUAGUAGUGAUCUAGAGGAUGAACCUGUCGUCAGAAUACAAUUAAGCAUGGAUUAUUCGAGUAUUCCAGUUGAAAAUAGUAAUCUUAAGUAUGGUUCCAUUGCAGAAACUGUGGUAUAUGACUGUGUCUUAGAAAUUGCAAUGAAAGUUCAACAUUUUCAGGAAAGAAAUUUGUUAUUACAUGGCCUGUGGAAGUGGUUAUUGACGGAAUUUGCAUCUUACUAUGGAGUAUCAAAGGCAUACACCAAUUUAAGAUACCUUUCCUAUGUCAUGGAUGUCGCGACCCCUACUGUAGAUUGUCUCACCUUAUUAUAUGAUCUGCUAGCAGAUGUGAAGGAAAUGAGCACAAAUCUGUUAAGUCAUCAAGAGCACUGCAUUCUAGCGAAGAUUGAGGAUCAAGUAAGGAAGUUGGUUGCUUUAGUUU